UACGGAGGGGACUAGCGUUGUUCGGAAUUACUGGGCGUAAAGCGCACGUAGGCGGAUUUGUAAGUCAGGGGUGAAAUCCCGGGGCUCAACCUCGGAACUGCCUUUGAUACUGCAAAUCUCGAGUCCGGAAGAGGUGAGUGGAAUUCCUAGUGUAGAGGUGAAAUUCGUAGAUAUUAGGAAGAACACCAGUGGCGAAGGCGGCUCACUGGGUCAAGAUUGACGCUGAGGAGCGAAAGCGUGGGGAGCGAACAGG
rnacentral:rRNA from 1 species